UACGUAGGGGGCGAGCGUUGUCCGGAUUUAUUGGGCGUAAAGAGCGUGUAGGCGGCCAGGCAGGUCCGCUGUGAAAACUCGAGGCUCAACCUCGAGAUGGCGGCGGAAACCGUCUGGCUAGAGUCCGGAAGAGGAGAGUGGAAUUCCUGGUGUAGCGGUGAAAUGCGCAGAUAUCAGGAAGAACACCUAUGGCGAAGGCAGCUCUCUGGGCCGGUACUGACGCUGAGACGCGAAAGCGUGGGGAGCGAACAGG
rnacentral:rRNA from 1 species